AAGUGUAAUGGACCAAUCAGAAGUUAUCUGCAAAAACGACGGAAACGCCCAAGGUGGUUUCCAGUUGUUUGCUCAGACGCCCAAAGGAACUCUACUGACGACCUUGAACGAUGUCCAGAUGUCGCUUAUGACUGGGGAGAUUGUAUAUUACGUCUUUGAUAUCUAUCAUUGCUUACCAGUCGAACCGUUAGAUGCUAAACAGUACUACGCUGGAAGAAUCGUUGAUACGUCUACUUCAUAAGCUAUUACCAUGGACAGAUAUGACCAGUUACCCGUGCAGAUCUGGAUUUCCGAAUCAACAAGAAAGGUGCUAGGGUGUUUUCUGAUCGUCUCCUUGGUCUCGGUUUUAUUACAGUCUUCAAUGUUGAGCUGACGUCCGAAUCUGACAUCACGAUUGACAUG
rnacentral:lncRNA from 1 species